AGCUGGAGCUUGCUCCGGCCGAUUAGUGGCGAACGGGUGAGUAACACGUGAGCAAUCUGCCCUUGACUCUGGGAUAACUGCGGGAAACUGUAGCUAAUACCGGAUACUUUCCUCGCUGGGCAUCCAGCGGGGAAGAAAGAAUUUCGGUCAAGGAUGAGCUCGCGGCCUAUCAGCUAGUUGGUGAGGUAAAGGCUCACCAAGGCGACGACGGGUAGCCGGCCUGAGAGGGUGACCGGCCACACUGGAACUGAGACACGGUCCAGACUCCUACGGGAGGCAGCAGUGGGGAAUAUUGCACAAUGGGCGAAAGCCUGAUGCAGCAACGCCGCGUGAGGGAUGAAGGCCUUCGGGUUGUAAACCUCUUUUAGCAGGGAAGAAGCGAAAGUGACGGUACCUGCAGAAAAAGCACCGGCUAACUACGUGCCAGCAGCCGCGGUAAUACGUAGGGUGCAAGCGUUGUCCGGAAUUAUUGGGCGUAAAGAGCUCGUAGGCGGUUUGUCACGUCUGCUGUGAAAAUCCGAGGCUCAACCUCGGACUUGCAGUGGGUACGGGCAGGCUAGAGUGCGGUAGGGGAGAAGGGAAUUCCUGGUGUAGCGGUGGAAUGCGCAGAUAUCAGGAGGAACACCAAUGGCGAAGGCACUUCUCUGGGCCGUAACUGACGCUGAGGAGCGAAAGCGUGGGGAGCGAACAGGAUUAGAUACCCUGGUA
rnacentral:rRNA from 1 species